rnacentral:rRNA from 1 species
AACGAACGCUGGCGGCAUGCCUAACACAUGCAAGUCGAACGAGACCUUCGGGUCUAGUGGCGCAUGGGUGCGUAACGCGUGGGAACCUGCCCUUAGGUUCGGAAUAACUCCCCGAAGGGGGUGCUAAUACCGGAUAAUGUCUUCGGACCAAAGAUUUAUCGCCUUUGGAUGGGCCCGCGUUGGAUUAGCUAGUUGGUAGGGUAAAAGCCUACCAAGGCGACGAUCCAUAGCUGGUCUGAGAGGAUGAUCAGCCACACUGGGACUGAGACACGGCCCAGACUCCUACGGGAGGCAGCAGUGGGGAAUAUUGGACAAUGGGCGAAAGCCUGAUCCAGCAAUGCCGCGUGAGUGAUGAAGUCCUUAGGGUUGUAAAGCUCUUUUACCCGGGAUGAUAAUGACAGUACCGGGAGAAUAAGCUCCGGCUAACUCCGUG